UCUAAGUGGCUUUGUGUGUCUCGGCAGCUGUACGAGACACACGUUACUAGUAAUAGUUUCCUGGCAGGGAACUGGGAUUGGCUGUGCUCCGUGCGUGGGAGCCUCUACUCUUCCUUCUGCUUCAGCCGGACUGGGGAUCCCUUGCUUGGUGUCUCUCCCCCGCCUCCCACAACUGCUGUUGCUGCUUGGAGAGCCGUUUGGUGCUGCAGAGUUGGAUAUUCAGAGGCUCCAGCCUCCCUGCCACCCCUUCUCGCCCUGACCUGCUAGGCCCUUCCUGCCUGUCCAAGGGCAGCCUGGCCUGCCCAUCCUUGAGGGGGUAUAAUAUUGAUAGUCUGCCAUCAUGGGAACAGUCAGUGAGCUCUGUGCCUCCAGUUUCCAAGCCUUCCUCUGCCCCUCCACCUUGGCGACCUCCAAGCCAGUGCCCAGCGACCUGACCCCUGAAGAGUGCCAGGAGCUUGAGAACAUCCGUCGUCGCAAGCAGGAACUGCUGGCAGACAUACAGCGCCUGAAAGAUGAGAUAGCAGAGGUGACUAAUGAAAUCGAGAACCUGGGCUCCACAGAAGAGAGGAAAACCAUGCAGAGAAACAAGCAGGUGGCGAUGGGCAGGAAGAAGUUCAACAUGGAUCCUAAGAAGGGGAUCCAGUUCCUGAUUGAAAAUGACCUGUUGAAGAACACAUGUGAAGAUAUUGCCCAGUUCCUCUACAAGGGGGAAGGGCUCAACAAGACUGCCAUUGGUGAUUACUUGGGUGAAAGAGAUGAUUUCAAUAUCCAGGUGUUGCACUCGUUUGUGGAGCUGCAUGAGUUUACUGACCUCAAUUUGGUGCAGGCGCUGCGGCAGUUCCUUUGGAGCUUCCGGCUGCCGGGCGAGGCACAGAAGAUUGAUCGAAUGAUGGAGGCUUUUGCACAACGCUACUGUCAAUGCAACCCUGGGGUCUUCCAGUCAACAGACACUUGUUACGUGCUCUCCUUUGCCAUCAUCAUGCUCAACACCAGUCUGCACAACCCCAACGUCAAGGACAAGCCCACAGUGGAGCGCUUCAUCGCCAUGAAUCGCGGCAUCAAUGAUGGCGGGGACCUGCCCGAGGAGCUGCUCAGGAACCUCUAUGAGAGUAUUAAAAACGAGCCCUUCAAAAUUCCUGAGGAUGAUGGCAACGACCUGACGCACACCUUCUUCAACCCAGACCGCGAAGGCUGGCUUCUGAAACUCGGAGGUAUGUACCCCCAUAUCCCCUUGCUAGCUUUGCUGGGGCCAAAGGUGCGCUGCAGUGCUUGUUUUAUUUUUCUGUUCUCUUUUUAUUUUUUAAUUGCUGGUGAUUAUAGUCUUAUUGCUGCUGUUGCCACCGUUGCUAACUGACUGCACAGUCCCUGGGGAACUGGGAAGAGGGUGGGCUGAGGGGAGUAGAAGCUCCUGUCCCCCACCCUAAAAAAGCAAGAAGUCCCCCAUGGAGCCAUAUCCAAGCCCGGCAGUAUCCCUCUCCUCAGUUCUGUCGUGAUCCAGGAUGCUUAGUGCUGUCCUUUGUAUUUGGCACUUCUUUUAGGGAUAAAGACAUGAGGAACUCCUCAGUCUGAAUGGUCUGCACUUUUCUUUGGGCUGGAGAAAUGGGGGCUAGGGCUGUCGCACUAGGAAGAGGCAGCUACACUCACAGCAGCUUGCUGUCAGGGCAUGGAGCCCUUGAAGUCGCAUGGCUGCUUCUCUGCUUUCAAACCACACCACAUGGAAAACAUGCUCAGAGAAGGCACGUAAUGCUGGGUUUUACUUGCUGUUGCCAAGAAAUGCUGAAUAGGGCUAGUGAUGCUUCAAAGUGGCUUCUUGUUGCCCUAGAAGGCGCUUUCUAGAUGCUUUAGAUUGACGAUAGUGACUACACAGCCAUAACAAUAUCACCACCCUUUUUUAAAAUGGGGGAAUAGCUUUUAAUUCUGGUCCCAAAAAUCACAACUAUCAAAGGUGUUUUGCUGUGGGGGUGAUAAACCAUAAAGCAAACAAGAAGCUUCUUCCCGCAGAUACCUACACAAUUUUGAAGGCCAUGCCAGUCUUAAAUGUGUUUCCUGUCAUUUUCAGAAGCUCUGUGCUUACCCAUUUCAGUGUGUUAGCACAUACUUCCUACUGCUUAAAACAUUGGUAGGGAAAGGUAAAGCUAGUACUAAGUGAAAGCAGCAUUACCCCAAUGGGGAAGGCCCUUUGUCUGGUAAUGCCCUAAGAAUUCCCUGUUAGCAGAGAUAAGGUUCUUCCUGCAUAACAAGGACUAAUAAGGUGGCAUUAAUCCUGUUGAGCUGAUGUAUGGCAAGGGAGCCUUAAUGUUCAGAUCCUGGUUGGUGAAAAGAAAAGCUUUGCUUAUGUGUGAGAUGGAUCCCAGUUAGCUAAUGCAGGACUGGCAAGGCAAAAAUUUUAACUGUUGUGAGCUGAUAAUAUAUUGAUUGUGCCAUUGUCUUAAUUCUUACCGAUCCACUUAUAUAACACUGUAAAUACCUGCAGAUUUGAUUUUUGCAACAAGCCCACGAAACAGCUCACUCUUCCCAUUUUAUGGAUAAGGGUGUUGUAGGUGGAGGCAGUCUUGCCUAACACCACCCAAAGAGUCCAUAGAUGAGGAAGUUCCAAUUCUUUGGAUCAUAGACUCCCCUGUGUCUUAAAAGAAAGUGAAAUUUAACUCACUUUACUGUGUUGGAUCAGCAUAAGCUAUGUUUUCAAGAGUUUCUUGGCAAUCACAAGGACUAAAAGCAGUAUUAUCAGCUGAAGUUCUUGUUACUUUUUCCUCUUAGGAGGCCAUUAGAAAAGAUUCCCCAAGUAUACCUUGUAUACUCCUGGCUUCUGAUGCUUUUCUUAUGGCUGAGGAAAGAAAGCAGCAUAAUGGAUGGCAAAGCAUGUUUUCUCAGCCUCUAAAUUUCAUAGCAAAUUGGAGUGCUCCAAAAUAAGAGUUUCUGGAAUAUUUAGAAGCCAAAUGGAAUUUUUUUUAAUGUUUGCGGACUUUGCUAUGCAGUGGGCAAAUGAGAGUGAAAAUGAACAGUGGACUCUAAACAGUUUGCGUUCCACAAGCCUCUAGUAUUCAAUUCAAGUAGUUUUCAAGCUUGGUUAAUUUAGGUAUCUCCCCCACCCCCUAAAUGGACAACUUCACCUUGAGCUUCCUGACAGGGUAUGUAGGGAAAUGUCACUCACACUCUUGAUUGCUCUGUGCUUGCUCCAGAUUGUGAAUUCAAAAACCAAGUAAGAGCCCUACAUUGUACAGGGUGCACGCACGCGCACCCCCCCUCCCCUCUACCUCUCUCUCUUAUUUUUUUAAAUUUAGGAUUAAAACACUUUGAGUAAAAUUCUAACUAGGUUUCUGUGCCAUUGCUUUCUUGUACAUAACCCAGUUGCAGCAGGCGAGCACUGCCUAGGGGAGACCCCAGUUAUCCAGGCAGGAGCCUCCCUGCUCCUCCACACCAGCAGGUGUGGGUGUUUACCCCAGCCUGCCAGCAUGGAGGGAAGCAAAGGGAGGAAAGCAGGGCAAAAGGGCAAAAAACCGAGAAGUUUGGGGGGUGGGGGGGGAGAAGGCAGAAAGUAGAAAAGUCAGAGCAAAAAGCAGGGAGAACGUCAGGAAAUGGAGAAGGGAGGGCAAAAGGCAGCAAGAGGGACAGGAAGGAGAAAGCAGAGAUUGCAUCUCUCCCCCCCCCACACCAAACAAGCUAGUAAAAGAUUGAACGUACGUACGGGCAGCCAGGAAUCUUCCAGAGCAGGGAGCUUCCUGCAGCCCCUCCUCCCCUGCUUGUAACGUCCUCUUUUGCUCUUACUGGCUGCCUGCAACAGCUGCUCCAGCCAGUCUUGAGUCCUAGGAGGCUCCUCCUGGCACGGCCCCCAGGAAAAACUAAAAUAAUGGGUCAAAAUACACUUCUUGGUUGAGCCGCCCUGAGCCAUUUUUGGAGGGGCCGUAUAUAAAUCAAAUACAUACAUGAUUUUUUUUUUUACACAUUUCCCCCUUCUUCCUGGGGGCAGUGCCUGGAGGAACCCCCUAGGAAUCGGACUGGCUAGAGCAGCUUGAAGAGCAGCUGUUCCAGCCAGUAAGAGCAAAAGAAGAAAUUACAGGCAGGGGAGGAGGGGUUGCAGAAAGCUCUCUGUUCUGGAGGCUUCCCUGGCUGCCUAUAUCGUCGCAGAAUAUAGGCUGUUCCCAGGAAAGCUGCUUUUGUAAUUGGCUGAUGGUGGCCGAGUAAAGACAUGGAAACGGCGCUGGUUCAUCUUGACAGACAACUGCCUUUACUACUUUGAGUACACCACGGACAAGGAACCACGAGGCAUCAUUCCUUUGGAGA